GGCUAUUCCAGGUAUCUACUACCCUUUCUAUAUCACUGUUACUGCUCCCACUGGAAGGCUAUUCCAGGUAUCUACUACCCUUUCUAUAUCACUGUUACUGCUCCCACUGGAAGGCUAUCCCUGGUAUCUACUACCCUUUCUACAUCACUGUUACUGCUCCCACUGGAAGGCUAUUCCAGGUAUCUACUACCCUUUCUACAUCACUGUUACUGCUCCCGCUGGAAGGCUAUUCCAGGUAUCUAC